rnacentral:rRNA from 1 species
UACGGGGGGGGCAAGCGUUGUUCGGAAUUACUGGGCGUAAAGGGCUCGUAGGCGGCCAACUAAGGCGGAUGUGAAAUCCCCAGGCUCAACUUGGGAACUGCAUCCGAUACUGGAUGGCUUGAAUUCGGGAGAGGGAUGCAGAAUUCCAGGUGUAGCGGUGAAAUGCGUAGAUAUCUGGAGGAAUACCGGUGGCGAAGGCGGCAUCCUGGACCGACAUUGACGCUGAGGAGCGAAAGCUAGGGGAGCAAACGGG